AUUGAACGCUGGCGGCAUGCUUUACACAUGCAAGUCGGACGAGUGGCGAACGGGUGAGUAAUAUAUUGGAACGUACCGAGUAAUGGGGGAUAACCAAUCGAAAGAUUGGCUAAUACCGCCUAUUCUUCGAGCGGCCAAUAUCUGAUUAGCUAGUUGGGGGGGUAAAGGCCUACCAAGGCGACGAUCAGUAGCGGGGCUGAGAGGAUGAUCCGCCCAACUGGGACUGGGACACGGCCCAGACUCCAACGGGUGGCAGCAGUGUGGAAGUUUGGACAAGGGGCGCAAGCCUGAUUCAGCCAUGCCGCUUGUCUGAAGAAGGCCUUCGGGGUGUAAAGGACUGUUGUUAGGGAAGCGGUACCUAAAGAAUAAGCACCGGCUAACUACGUGCCAGCAGCCGCGGUAAUUC
rnacentral:rRNA from 1 species